rnacentral:rRNA from 1 species
CCGGAAUGCGGACGCUGGCGUGCAGCUCACAAGUACGAGCGGAUGAAGGGAGCUUGCUACUGGAUUCAGCGGCGGACGGGUGAGUAAUGCCUAGGAAUCUGCCUGGUAGUGGGGGAUAACGUCCGGAAACGGGCGCUAAUACCGCAUACGUCCUGAGGGAGAAAGUGGGGGAUCUUCGGACCUCACGCUAUCAGAUGAGCCUAGGUCGGAUUAGCUAGUUGGUGGGGUAAAGGCCUACCAAGGCGACGAUCCGUAACUGGUCUGAGAGGAUGAUCAGUCACACUGGAACUGAGACACGGUCCAGACUCCUACGGGAGGCAGCAGUGGGGAAUAUUGGACAAUGGGCGAAAGCCUGAUCCAGCCAUGCCGCGUGUGUGAAGAAGGUCUUCGGAUUGUAAAGCACUUUAAGUUGGGAGGAAGGGCAGUAAGUUAAUACCUUGCUGUUUUGACGUUACCAACAGAAUAAGCACCGGCUAACUUCGUGCCAGCAGCCGCGGUAAUACGAAGGGUGCAAGCGUUAAUCGGAAUUACUGGGCGUAAAGCGCGCGUAGGUGGUUCAGCAAGUUGGAUGUGAAAUCCCCGGGCUCAACCUGGGAACUGCAUCCAAAACUACUGAGCUAGAGUACGGUAGAGGGUGGUGGAAUUUCCUGUGUAGCGGUGAAAUGCGUAGAUAUAGGAAGGAACACCAGUGGCGAAGGCGACCACCUGGACUGAUACUGACACUGAUGUGCGAAAGCGUGGGGAGCAAACAGGAUUAGAUACCCUGGUAGUCCACGCCGUAAACGAUGUCAACUAGCUCGUUGGGGAUCCUUGAGAUCUUAUUGGCCGCCAUCUAAGCGCUGAUAAGUCGACCGCCUGGGGGAGUACGGCCCGCAGGGUUAAAACUGCAAAUGAAUUUGACGGGGAGUCC